GACGAACGCUGGCGGCGCGCCUAACACAUGCAAGUCGAACGAGAGAUGAGGAGCUUGCUCUUCAGAUCGAGUGGCGAACGGGUGAGUAACGCGCGAGGAACCUGCCUCAAAGAGGGGGACAACAGUUGGAAACGACUGCUAAUACCGCAUAAGCCCACGGCUCGGCAUCGAGCAGGGGGAAAAGGAGCAAUCCGCUUUGAGAUGGCCUCGCGUCCGAUUAGCUAGUUGGUGAGGUAACGGCCCACCAAGGCGACGAUCGGUAGCCGGACUGAGAGGUUGAACGGCCACAUUGGGACUGAGACACGGCCCAGACUCCUACGGGAGGCAGCAGUGGGGGAUAUUGCACAAUGGGGGAAACCCUGAUGCAGCGACGCCGCGUGGAGGAAGAAGGUUUUCGGAUUGUAAAACUCCUGUCGUUAGGGACGAUAAUGACGGUACCUAACAAGAAAGCACCGGCUAACUACGUG
rnacentral:rRNA from 1 species